GGUGGCUCAGUGGUAGAGCUCUUGCCUUGCAGGCAUAAGGCCCUGGGUUCGAUUCCUCAGCACCA
rnacentral:tRNA from 1 species